AGUUGUGGCCUUCCGCUCCGCUUACGCUUACCGCUUUAUCAAACAUUGAUGGUGGGGUGCGGCUGCGACGGAGAUGAAGGAGGUUCGCCACCUGUCUUUGUCUCCUUGCUGCGUCCUUUGUUGUCGAUCAUCCCCUCUCCCUUCGCCCCUAGCAGCGCAAUAGUCGGGGACAAGGGGAAGGAGCAGGUUGACCCGACUCCAUCUCUCUGCACGAGGACUAGAGGAGCAGGUGGCGAGGGAAGCCGACACGGCCAGCGGCGGCCCUGCACAGGGACAUCCGCCUCCGGUUUUCCGUCCCGUCUCCCGAUCCCCUUCCGUUUAAGUGUGUUCUUUUUCCUCUUGGCCCGAUCUGCUCACAUGUUUGGGGUUUCGUGUUGUAGGGAUAAGAUCUGGUGCGGGAGGUGUGGUAUACUGCAUAGGUGUAUAAUCUUGGCUAUGAUCUAUGCUGGUGAUUUGGCUAUCGACUGCUAAAUCUACGAAUCAUCUGAAAAUGAGGAUGUUGAUGUUAAAGCAUUUGGUUUUGAUGGAUCAUAUUAUUGGUUCUCUGUUCAACUGAAGAUGUCUUCAGAUAGGACUAAGGUGAGUUGAGUUGUGGCUUGGUUGGAUAUGUUGAUGCUGUUUGAGACGCCCGCUGGAUUCACCCUUUUCAAGGUUCUGAACAAGGGCAAGCUCGACAAGGUCGAGGGGUAUAUGGACCACAAAUGAUGUGAUAUACUUCGUUAUUUCAACAUGAGUACGGCUCAGCAGGAAGGUCAACCGUGGGGAGGCGCAACAUAACGCGGCCUCAGCCAAUUAGGUGUCCCCUCUCUUUGCCCAUUGCUUCUACAAAACUCUGAUUUUGUUUGGCUUAUGAAGACACAUUCAUCCUGCAAGUACAAUCAUGAUUAAGAGUUUGAACGCCCUUGCACAUCGGUUUACUUUCUUACAUUGAUUGGUGUGUCUUAUGCCUUAUAUAAUACGCCUUCUCACAUAAUAGUUUGGUAAAGAAAGAGUGAACUCACUCUUGAAUUUUACACUAAUUAUACUUAUUUCACUAUUAAUAAUUUGUAUUUGCUAUAUCUUCUCUCAUGAGUUCGUCAAGUUCCUUUCUCAACAUGCUUAGAUGCUUUUCUAUCGGAAAUUUUGUGCAACAUCAGAAGUAAUGGUUGAUCGGUUUAGCCUUUGUAUCGGUUACAUAUGUAUAUAUGUCAUUGGCCUAGCUAACAUUGUGUGUCAGUAAUUUAUGCUUUCUUUCUUUGGAAUAAUUAUGCCUAGCUGGAAAUAGAGCGGAGUCAGGUACAUGCCUGUUACUACUCUUUUUGCGGUCUAAACUGUUCCUUAAACUAAACCAGUAACCUGACGGUAUUUUGUGUUUAACUAGUAUCAUUCUUAUCACAGUGAGUACUAUAUUAUUCAGUUAACAUCUGCAGGUGUGCCCUCUCCCUGUGCGCCGCGUGCAUGUCGCCAUUUGCAGGAGUGUGGGGCAAGCCAUGUCCUCGAAAGCCCAAUCCCCUCGCCCGCACACCGCACGCCACACCCCUCCCUCGCUCCCUCCUCGAACCCUCUUCCUCGCCAGCCGCCAUGAAACCACCAACCCUAGCCUCCCCAUCUCCCUUGCGUAUGACCAUGAUGGCGGCUGGGUCGGCCAGAGGCAGAAGGCCAUGGUGAUUCCGAUGUCUGCAUGCGGAAGUGGCAGCGGUUCAUGGAGCGGAGCGAGUCCACCUCCCGUCGUUCUAGCCACAGCCUCUGCGCCGCCUCCGCUUCCUCCUCCUAUUCGUAGGAGCUUCAAUGAGGUUGCUCACCAAUGAGCUGGAAGGUUUUUUGUCCUGGGUACCUGCAACUCACUUUGUUAAUUACGACAACACCAUUUCAUAUUUAAAUUUAAUACUCCCUCCCUUCUUUAAAAGAAGGCAUGUCAGUUUUGGUCAAAGUCAAACAAUGUAAAGUUUGACCAAGUUAAUCCAACAAACUUGUGUGUCUUCUUUCCUAGCAUGGAGGGAGUACUUAGUUUGAUUACUACAUCUACAGUUUAUUUUUGCUUCUACUUCUACUUCUACUGUAUUUCUGUACUUAAAUUCAAAUUAUUUCUGCACCUACUUUAUUUCUACUUCUAGCCCGCCCUGUGUUCUAAUGAAUUCAUCUACGAGGGUGUUGUUCCAUUUUCAUCCACUGAAGGUUUUCUCACUUCUACAUAGGUGCUCCAUUAUUUCUUUUCCUAUUUAGAUUUUCUGUUUUGUGAAAUGGCAAACGCUAAAUUCUGCAACGACACUUUCUUUAAGCAUUGUGUUCGAUUUUUCCUCGGGUUUUCUAAACAUGAAGUGUAUAGAUCUGAGGAUGAAGAGAAGAAGAAUUUAUCUAAAAGGGUGAAGAAGAUCAAGGGGGUGAGAGGCGGAUAACAAUACAAGAAGGAGCAUGCCAUCAAGGAGUGCAAGCAGCGGCACUCCUCCGCAAUGGGGUAUGGCUGCAGGGGAGGGGACGCGGCCAACGACAUGAAGAAGGAGCAGGUCGUCGAGGACUACAAGUAGCAGGUUUCCUUUGACUAGAAGUCUGAAAGUGAAGAUAGGGCAUAUUGUUUUGGUUCUGAGUGGCCGGAGAUAUUGUGGCUUGAUGUCCCUAGAGCAGUCAGACCCUUCCAAGAUAGAAGAUCUUUGGGAUUGACGUUCUGAUGAGAAAGUAGCAUACAGAUGGAUGGAUAUGAACUAUUCAGUGGUCGAACUGCGCUAUAUUUCGUUCAUUGAGGCGAGGGUGAUUCCAGUAGAUUUUGCUUGGCGUACUCGUCUUUUUUAUUGAAGUUGGGUGUCUGUCUUCUCUGCGGCAAGGAAAUGACUUUAUUUGGAAAAUGGCAAUAUCGUUUACAAGUAUACAUGAAACAAGCUAUUUUUCCUACACCUCUUUGGUUUGUGUAAUGGUGCUCUUGGUUGAGUGUGCUGACGAAAGAGAUUCCAUGCUACAGGCUAGAUCUAUGCUAUCGCGGCAACACAGGCCAAUACACAUUCAGGAAAUAUGUCACCAACUUCCCCAAGGCCCCGCAUCGUCUACUCAGGAUAUUUUGUGCCCCAAGCCCUACAGAAUAAUGCCCAGUCUAAUUUCAGGAGUGGGCAUGACAGCCUCAAACUUCUCUCUUCAAUAUUGAAGAAGCGACUUACUCAGAUCAAUGGGCAUGCACUUAGAAAAAUAGCUAAAGAGUACGAGAUAUUCCUAGAGUAAAUAAAGGGCAUGCUGUGCUCAUAAGUUAGACAGAAGCAAAAUGUUAUUUAUUAUGCUCCCGUUGUAUCCUCGGACAUUUUCUUCCACCUACCAAUACCCCAUUAUUGAAU